GGGACGUCUGGGCCGUCAGAGCAUCCUGUUGGUCGACUGCAGCCCAGGCCCCGAGCGCCAGCAAGAGGACUCGCGGGAGCAGCCGACGGCUCCGGCUCCACCCCCCGAAGAAGCCGCUUCAGACAUCGACCGCUCCAAGCUGCCCCCCGCGGUCAGGGACUUGUAUGACAACGCCAGGAACAACAUCAUCAACAACAUCCUGAGGAAUUUCUAGGGCCGGGAAGGAGGGGAGGCCCGCAUCCCAGCCAUGACCUCCCCUCCCACCGCCCACUCCCUCGGCGGCCUCAGCACCCCCUUUGCUGAAUAGUCCCCCACACGCCUCUGCUUCCGCACACCUGCUGCCCUCCGCUCGAACGCCAGCCCGUCCUGUGUCUAACUCCUACUCACCCUUCAAGGCUCAGCUCCAAGGCCACCUCCUCCAGGAAGCCCUGGGCUUGCCCCCAGCAGGUGUCCUUCCCUCCUCAGAGCCGGCGUGACCUGCUGUGCCCGGCCGGACGCACCCUGUGUGCGCACAGCUGUGCCCGCCGGCGCCGGCGACGGGGUAGGGGGAUGGGUUUCUCGACCAGGUGCUCCUGGGAGGACAGUCCUUCUGCAGGACCCGGCACCCCCGCCCCCGCCCAGGCCCUUCACAUCCGCAGGCGUUGCCACGGGGGGCGGGGGGGUCAGCCCAUCCUCAGGGGAGAGGCUCAAUAAAGCAUUUCUGACAGAGA